GACGAACGCUGGCGGCGUGCCUAAUACAUGCAAGUAGAACGCACAGUUUAUACCGUAGCUUGCUACACCAUAAACUGUGAGUUGCGAACGGGUGAGUAACGCGUAGGUAACCUGCCUGGUAGCGGGGGAUAACUAUUGGAAACGAUAGCUAAUACCGCAUAAUAUUAAUUAUUGCAUGAUAAUUGAUUGAAAGAUGCAAUUGCAUCACUACCAGAUGGACCUGCGUUGUAUUAGCUAGUAGGCGAGGUAACGGCUCACCUAGGCGACGAUACAUAGCCGACCUGAGAGGGUGAUCGGCCACACUGGGACUGAGACACGGCCCAGACUCCUACGGGAGGCAGCAGUAGCGAAUCUUCGGCAAUGGACGAAAGUCUGACCGAGCAACGCCGCGUGAGUGAAGAAGGUUUUCGGAUCGUAAAGCUCUGUUGUAAGAGAAGAACGGGUGUGAGAGUGGAAAGUUCACACUGUGACGGUAUCUUACCAGAAAGGGACGGCUAACUACGUG
rnacentral:rRNA from 1 species